UUUCUUUCAAAUUCACAGAUUAAGUUUGUAGUUAAAUUUUUGGCCAAAUAUCUAAAUUCAAUUUGAAGAUGGCAAUGGAAACGAUCUUGGGCAUUAAGGGCGAGGAUUGUGUGAUACUUGCCUGCGAUACAAUGCAGGCUAAGUCUGUGAUCUUUAUGAGAGAUGAUCAGUCGAAAAUGCAUCGCCUCUCCGAGUUCGCAAUGUUGGCGGCAAUAGGCGAUGGCGGCGACACUCUGCAGUUCACAGAUUAUAUAGCCAAACAUUUGAAGCUAUAUCAUAUAACAAAUGGAUAUCAUUUGAGUCCGCGUGGCGCUGCGCAUUUCACGCGUAAGAAUCUGGCGGAUUACAUAAGAACAAACACCAGGUAUCAGGUGUCAAUGCUGUUGGCGGGCUACGACAGCGUUGAGGGACCCGCUCUACAUUUCAUAGACUCAUAUGGCGCCGCGAUGCCCAUCAAUCAUGCUGGCCAUGGCCUGGGCAGCCUGUUCUGCGGCAGCAUCUUUCAACGCUACUGGACACAGGACCUGAAACAGGUGCAGGCCUACAAUAUAUUGAGAAUGUGCGUGGCUGAGAUCCAAAAGCGUUUAGUUAUCAAUUUGCGCAAUUUCGAUGUGUUCGUUGUGAACCGAAAUGGGACGAGUCAACUGGAAUCUAUCAAUCCGUCUUCAUUCGAUGCCGAUGUGCUAUGUCUAUCACUCUCUAAUAAUUUUCAAAAUUAUAACAGCAAAGCGUUGAAGUAGAUAGAAAUGCAAAGAGACAUACAUUCAUUACUUGAGAUCAUGAAGGAAAUGUAUGAGGAUUGAAAGCUUUAAGGAAAGGAAGUUUUAGACAAGGUCAACUCUGAAUUGUGAAUUCUGUGUGUUCUGCGUUCAUCUAGAGACAGAGUCAGGUCAAGUUAAGCUCUGUAUUAGCUCUCGUCAGAGGGAGAGCGCUGUGGCUAAGACUUGUCCGUCCCAUUCCCUGGGCAAGCACUUGGAAUCAAGCCUUAAAAUGAAUUGAAACCUUUUUUUCGCUCAACACCUACGCAACUUACCUCAACUGCGCCGUGCCGUGGUCCCUGCUGGCAGCUGGCGCAUGUUUUAGAUAUGCAAUGCGGAUGCCUUUGGGAAAUUAACGGUACGUUUUAACGGCAACGUCAACGCUCGCUUAAAUGUCUUUCAUUGUGGCAGGACUUGGGGGAGCGUUGCGCAAUCAGCAACAUUUGCACAUUUUUAAGGUGUGCGUCGUAAACUGAAGAUUGAGCAUAAAGCUUGACAGAUCGGGAUCUCAGCAUGAAUACAAAUUUGAGGCUGUGAAGGCAUAUAAAAGAAAGAAUACUCAAUGUGCAAGUUUGCAAAUCAAA